rnacentral:rRNA from 1 species
ACGAACGCUGGCGGCGUGCCUAAUACAUGCAAGUCGAACGGUCUUUCUAUGGAAGCUUGCUUCCACUGAGAAGAUAGUGGCGAACGGGUGAGUAACACGUGGGUAACCUGCCCAUAAGAGGGGGAGUAACAUCCGGAAACGGGUGCUAAUACCGCAUAGUUUUCUUGAUCGCAUGAUUGAGAAAGGAAAGACGGCCUUUGUGCUGUCGCUUAUGGAUGGACCCGCGGCGUAUUAGUUAGUUGGUGAGGUAAUGGCUCACCAAGACGAUGAUACGUAGCCGACCUGAGAGGGUGAUCGGCCACAUUGGGACUGAGACACGGCCCAAACUCCUACGGGAGGCAGCAGUAGGGAAUCUUCCGCAAUGGACGAAAGUCUGACGGAGCAACGCCGCGUGAGUGAAGAAAAGGUUUUCGGAUCGUAAAACUCUGUUGUCAGAGAAGAACAAGUUGGAGAGUAACUGCUCCAGCCUUGACGGUAUCUGACCAGAAAGCCACGGCUAACUACGUGCCAGCAGCGGC